GACGAACGCUGGCGGCGUGCCUAAUACAUGCAAGUAGAACGCUGAAGAGAGGAGCUUGCUCUUCUUGGAUGAGUUGCGAACGGGUGAGUAACGCGUAGGUCACCUGCCUUGUAGCGGGGGAUCACUAUUGGAAACGAUAGCUAAUACCGCAUAACCAUGGAUGACCCAUGUCAUUUAUUUGAAAGGGGCAAAUGCUCCACUACAAGAUGGACCUUCGUUGUAUUAGUGAGUAGGUGAGGUAACGGCUCACCUAGGCGACGAUACAUAGCCGACCUGAGAGGGUGAUCGGCCACACUGGGACUGAGACACGGCCCAGACUCCUACGGGAGGCAGCAGUAGGGAAUCUGCGGCAAUGGGGGCAACCCUGACCGAGCAACGCCGAGUGAGUGAAGAAGGUUUUCGGAUCGUAAAGCUCUGUUGUAAGUCAAGAACGAGUGUGAGAGUGGAAAGUUCACACUGUGACGGUAGCUUACCAGAAAGGGACGGCUAACUACGUG
rnacentral:rRNA from 1 species